rnacentral:rRNA from 1 species
UACGUAGGGGGCAAGCGUUGUCCGGAAUUAUUGGGCGUAAAGAGCUUGUAGGCGGUUUGUCGCGUCUGCUGUGAAAACUCGGGGCUUAACCCCGGGCCUGCAGUGGGUACGGGCAGACUAGAGUGCGGUAGGGGAGACUGGAAUUCCUGGUGUAGCGGUGAAAUGCGCAGAUAUCAGGAGGAACACCGGUGGCGAAGGCGGGUCUCUGGGCCGUAACUGACGCUGAGGAGCGAAAGCAUGGGGAGCGAACAGG